rnacentral:rRNA from 1 species
UACGGGGGGGGCAAGCGUUGUUCGGAAUUACUGGGCGUAAAGGGCUCGUAGGCGGCCAACUAAGUCAGACGUGAAAUCCCUCGGCUUAACCGGGGAACUGCGUCUGAUACUGGAUGGCUUGAGGUUGGGAGAGGGAUGCGGAAUUCCAGGUGUAGCGGUGAAAUGCGUAGAUAUCUGGAGGAACACCGGUGGCGAAGGCGGCAUCCUGGACCAAUUCUGACGCUGAGUGAGCGAAAGCCAGGGGAGCAA